UCCUGGCAGUUCCAAAGUGCUCACAGUGCAGGUAGUUUAAAUGAACCUACUGCAGUGUGUGCACUUCAAGUAUUGCCGGUC
rnacentral:pre_miRNA from 8 species